rnacentral:rRNA from 1 species
AUUGAACGCUGGCGGAAUGCUUUACACAUGCAAGUCGAACGGCAGCACGGGGGCAGCCCUGGUGGCGAGUGGCGAACGGGUGAGUAAUACAUCGGAACGUGCCCGGUCGUGGGGGAUAACGUAGCGAAAGUUACGCUAAUACCGCAUACGAUCUGAGGAUGAAAGCGGGGGACCUUCGGGCCUCGCGCGAUCGGAGCGGCCGAUGUCAGAUUAGGUAGUUGGUGGGGUAAAGGCCUACCAAGCCGACGAUCUGUAGCUGGUCUGAGAGGACGACCAGCCACACUGGGACUGAGACACGGCCCAGACUCCUACGGGAGGCAGCAGUGGGGAAUUUUGGACAAUGGGCGCAAGCCUGAUCCAGCCAUUCCGCGUGCAGGACGAAGGCCUUCGGGUUGUAAACUGCUUUUGUACGGAACGAAAAGGCUCUGGCUAAUACCUGGGGCUCAUGACGGUACCGUAAGAAUAAGCACCGGCUAACUACGAG